rnacentral:rRNA from 1 species
GGAUAACCAGGUGAAAGCUUGGCUAAUACCGCAUGAGUCCGUCGGGACGCCGGUCCUGACGGGGAAAGUGGAGCAAUCCACGCUACGAGAUCGGCCCGCGGCCCAUUAGCUAGUUGGCGGGGUAACGGCCCACCAAGGCGACGAUGGGUAGCUGGUCUGAGAGGAUGAUCAGCCACACUGGAACUGAGAUACGGUCCAGACUCCUACGGGAGGCAGCAGUGGGGAAUUUUGCGCAAUGGGCGAAAGCCUGACGCAGCAACGCCGCGUGUGUGACGAAGGCCCUAGGGUUGUAAAGCACUGUGGGAAGGGAAGAAAAAACGGGGGUUGUACCCCGUCUUGACGGUACCUUGUUAGAAAGCACCGGCUAACUCCGUGCCAGCAGCCGCGGUAA